AUGGUGCCUGGCCUGGGGAUGCCUGACGUGUGCCCUGGUGAGGGUCCACUGAAGAUGUUGAGGAAACGCCAGCAGAUGUUCUGCUCCCAGGCGGACCCUUCUGUGCCCCAGUGUGGCUUGGCUUUUCUCCCUAGGCCUCAGGGAGAUGUGUGCACAGAGCCACAAGGCAGGGUGACGAAGGGAACGUCAUCAUUUGGGAAGCGUCGCAAUAAGACGCACACAUUAUGCCGCCACUGUGGCUCUAAGGCCUACCACCUUUAGGAGUCGACCAGCAGCAAAUGUGGCUACUCCGCCAAGCGCAAGAGAAAGUAUAACUGGAGUGCCAAGGCUAAAAGACGAAAUACCACCGGGACUGGUCGAAUGAGGCACCUAAAAAUUGUAUACCGCAGAUUCAGGCAUGGAUUCCGUGAGGGAACAACACCUAAACCCAAGAGGGCAGCUGUUGCAGCAUCCAGUUCAUCUUAAG